CCUACGGGAGGCAGCAGUGAGGAAUAUUGGUCAAUGGGCGGAAGCCUGAACCAGCCAAGUCGCGUGAGGGAUUAAUGCCCUGCGGGUCGUAAACCUCUUUUGCCGGGGAGCAGAGUUCCUUACGUGUCCUGUCCUGUAUGGUCCCCGGAGAAAAAGCCUCGGAUAACUCCUUGCCAGCAGCCGCGGUAAUACGGGGGUUGCGAGCGUUAUCCGGUUUUAUUGGGUUUACAGGGUGCGUAGGCGGGCAUUUAAGCCGGCGGUCAAAUGUCGGGGCUAAACCCCGGCCUGCCGUCGGAACUGGGUGCCUUGAGUGGGCGAGAAGUAGGCGGAAUGCGUGGUGUAGCGGUGAAAUGCAUAGAUAUCACGCAGAACCCCGAUUGCGAAGGCAGCUUGCUGCAGCGGAACUGACGCUGAUGCUCGAAAGCGCGGGUAUCGAACAGGAUUAGAUACCCGUGUAGUC
rnacentral:rRNA from 1 species